UAAAAAAAGAAGUUUUUCUCCCAGGAUGAACGCCGGCGGUGUGCUUAAUACAUGCAAGUCGUACGCACUGGCCCAACUGAUUGAUGGUGCUUGCACUUGAUUGACGAUGGAUCACCAGUGAGUGGCGGACGGGUGAGUAACACGUAGGUAACCUGCCCCGGAGCGGGGGAUAACAUUUGGAAACAGAUGCUAAUACCGCAUAACAACAAAAGCCACAUGGCUUUUGUUUGAAAGAUGGCUUUGGCUAUCACUCUGGGAUGGACCUGCGGUGCAUUAGCUAGUUGGUAAGGUAACGGCUUACCAAGGCGAUGAUGCAUAGCCGAGUUGAGAGACUGAUCGGCCACAAUGGAACUGAGACACGGUCCAUACUCCUACGGGAGGCAGCAGUAGGGAAUCUUCCACAAUGGGCGCAAGCCUGAUGGAGCAACACCGCGUGAGUGAAGAAGGGUUUCGGCUCGUAAAGCUCUGUUGUUGGAGAAGAACGUGCGUGAGAGUAACUGUUCACGCAGUGACGGUAUCCAACCAGAAAGUCACGGCUAACUACGUGCCAGCAGCCGCGGUAAUACGUAGGUGGCAAGCGUUAUCCGGAUUUAUUGGGCGUAAAGCGAGCGCAGGCGGUUGCUUAGGUCUGAUGUGAAAGCCUUCGGCUUAACCGAAGAAGUGCAUCGGAAACCGGGCGACUUGAGUGCAGAAGAGGACAGUGGAACUCCAUGUGUAGCGGUGGAAUGCGUAGAUAUAUGGAAGAACACCAGUGGCGAAGGCGGCUGUCUGGUCUGCAACUGACGCUGAGGCUCGAAAGCAUGGGUAGCGAACAGGAUUAGAUACCCUGGUAGUCCAUGCCGUAAACGAUAGGCAGU
rnacentral:rRNA from 1 species